rnacentral:rRNA from 1 species
UGCAAGUCGAGCGGUAAGGCCCUUUCGGGGGUACACGAGCGGCGAACGGGUGAGUAACACGUGAGCAAUCUGCCCUUGACUUUGGAAUAACCAUUGGAAACGAUGGCUAAUGCCGAAUAUGACCCUCUUUCGCAUGUUGGGGGGUGGAAAGCUCCGGCGGUCAGGGAUGAGCUCGCGGCCUAUCAGCUUGUUGGUGAGGUAAUGGCUCACCAAGGCAUUGACGGGUAGCCGGCCUGAGAGGGUGACCGGCCACACUGGGACUGAGACACGGCCCAGACUCCUACGGGAGGCAGCAGUGGGGAAUAUUGGACAAUGGGCGAAAGCCUGAUCCAGCAACGCCGCGUGAGGGAUGACGGCCUUCGGGUUGUAAACCUCUUUCAGCAGGGACGAAGCGAGAGUGACGGUACCUGCAGAAGAAGGACCGGCCAACUACGUGCCAGCAGCCGCGGUAAUACGUAGGGUCCGAGCGUUGUCCGGAAUUAUUGGGCGUAAAGGGCUCGUAGGCGGUUUGUCGCGUCGGGAGUGAAAACUCAGGGCUCAACCCUGAGCGUGCUUCUGAUACGGGCAGACUAGAGGUAUUCAGGGGAGAACGGAAUUCCUGGUGUAGCGGUGGAAUGCGCAGAUAUCAGGAGGAACACCGGUGGCGAAGGCGGUUCUCUGGGAAUUACCUGACGCUGAGGAGCGAAAGCAUGGGGAGCGAACAGGAUUAGAUACCCUGGUAGUCCAUGCCGUAAACGUUGGGCGCUAGGUGUGGGGACCUUCCACGGUUUCCGUGCCGCAGCUAACGCAUUAAGCGCCCGCCUGGGGGAGUACGGCCGCAAGGCUAAAACUCAAAGGAAUUGACGGGGGCCCGCACAAGCGGCGGAGCAUGCUG